rnacentral:rRNA from 1 species
GACGAACGCUGGCGGCGUGCUUAACACAUGCAAGUCGAACGGGCCCGCUCUCUUUUUUGGGGGUGGGUUGAGUGGCGAACGGGUGAGUAUCACGUGAGUAACCUGCCCCCUGCUCCUGGAUAACUGCUUGAAAGGGCGGCUAAUACGGGGUGUGCCGGCUGGUCCGCAUGGGCCUGGUCGGGAUAGUUUCAUCUUCGGGUGUUUCGGUGGGGUAUGGGCUCGCGGCCUAUCAGCUUGUUGGUGGGGUGAUGGCCCACCAAGGCGGUGACGGGUAGCCGGCCUGAGAGGGUGGGCGGCCACACUGGGACUGAGACACGGCCCAGACGCCUGCGGGAGGCAGCAGUGGGGGGUAUUGCACAAUGGGCGGAAGCCUGAUGCAGCGACGUCGCGUGAGGGAUGGAGGCCUUCGGGUUGUGAGCCUCUUUCUCCGGUGGUGAAGGCCCUGUCCGUUGCGGCGGGGUUGACGGUAGCCGGGUAUGAAGCGCCGGCUAACUACGUG